GACGAACGCUGGCGGCGCGCUUAACACAUGCAAGUCGAACGGAAAGGCCUGCUUUCCCUUGUGGAUUGCGGGUACUCGAGUGGCGAACGGGUGAGUAACACGUGAGUGAUCUGCCCCCAACUUGGGUAUAAGCCUGGGAAACUGGGUCUAAUUCCCGAUAGGACUGCAGGGUGGUGCCUGUGGUGGAAAACGAUUUUCUAGUGGUUGGGGAUGAGCUCGCGGCCUAUCAGCUUGUUGGUGGGGUAAUGGCCUACCAAGGCGGCGACGGGUAGCCGGCCUGAGGGGGUGGACGGCCACAUUGGGACUGAGAUCCGGCCCAGACUCCUACGGGAGGCAGCAGUGGGGAAUAUUGCACAAUGGGCGGAAGCCUGAUGCAGCGACGCCGCGUGGGGGAUGACGGCCUUCGGGUUGUAAACUCCUUUCGACCGCGAGGAAGCCACCUGGUUGGAAGGGUGGUGACGGUAGUGGUAGAAGAAGCACCGGCUAACUACGUG
rnacentral:rRNA from 1 species